UACGGAGGGGGCUAGCGUUGUUCGGAAUUACUGGGCGUAAAGCGCGCGUAGGCGGACCUGCAAGUCGGGGGUGAAAGCCCGAGGCUCAACCUCGGAACUGCCUUCGAUACUGCGGGUCUCGAGUUCGGGAGAGGUGAGUGGAAUUCCUAGUGUAGAGGUGAAAUUCGUAGAUAUUAGGAAGAACACCAGUGGCGAAGGCGGCUCAGCUGGCCCGGUACUGACGCUGAGGUGCGAAAGCGUGGGGAGCAAACAGG
rnacentral:rRNA from 1 species